rnacentral:rRNA from 1 species
GAUGAACGCUAGCGGCAGGCUUAAUACAUGCAAGUCGAGGGGUAGCAAGAUUGUAGCAAUACAAUUGUUGACGACCGGCAAACGGGUGCGGAACACGUACACAACCUUCCUACAAGUGGGGAAUAGCUCAGAGAAAUUUGGAUUAAUACCCCGUAACAUAGCGAUGUGGCAUCACAUUGCUAUUAUAGCUCCGGCGCUUGUUGAUGGGUGUGCUGCUGAUUGGAUAGUUGGCGGGGUAAAGGCCCACCAAGUCUACGAUCAGUAGCUGAUGUGAGAGCAUGAUCAGCCACACGGGCACUGAGACACGGGCCCGACUCCUACGGGAGGCAGCAGUAAGGAAUAUUGGACAAUGGACGCAAGUCUGAUCCAGCCAUGCCGCGUGAAGGAUUAAGGUCCUCUGGAUUGUAAACUUCUUUUAUAAGGGACGAAAAAAGGUCUUUCUAGAUCGUCUGACGGUACCUUAUGAAUAAGCACCGGCUAACUCCGUGCCAGCAGCCGCGGUAAUAC